CCGCAGCCCGAGUGGUGAUCGUUAUUAUUGGGCCUAAAGCGUCCGUAGCCUGCUUGGUAAAUCCUUGGGUAAAUCGGGCAGCUUAACUGUCCGAAUUCCGGGGAGACUGCCAAGCUUGGGACCGGGAGAGGUCGGAGGUACUCCGGGAGUAGAGGUGAAAUUCUGUAAUCCUCGGGGGACCACCAGUGGCGAAGGCGUCCGACUUGAACGGGUCCGACGGUGAGGGACGAAGCCCUGGGGCACAAACCGGAUUAGAUACCCGAGUAGUCC
rnacentral:rRNA from 1 species